rnacentral:rRNA from 1 species
GACGAACGCUGGCGGCGUGCUUAAUACAUGCAAGUCGAACGGAGUGGCGAACGGGUGAGUAAGACGGGGGUGAACUGGCGUGCACUUCGGGAUAAGCUUGGGAAACUGGGACUAAUACCGGAUAGUGCAAGAUGAGCUCGCGGCCUAUCAGCUUGUUGGUGGGGUAAUGGCCUACCAAGGCGUCGACGGGUAGCCGGCCUGAGGGGGUGUCCGGCCACAUUGGGACUGAGAUACGGCCCAGACUCCUACGGGAGGCAGCAGUGGGGAAUAUUGCACAAUGGGCGGAAGCCUGAUGCAGCGACGCCGCGUGGGGGAUGAAGGCCUUCGGGUUGUAAACUCCUUUCGACAGGGACGCGGUACCUGUAUAAGAAGCGCCGGCUAACUACGUGCCAGCAGCCGCGGUAAUUC